rnacentral:rRNA from 1 species
AACGAACGCUGGCGGCAGGCCUAACACAUGCAAGUCGAGCGAAGCCUUCGGGCUUAGCGGCGGACGGGUGAGUAACGCGUGGGAACGUGCCCUUUGCUACGGAAUAGCCCCGGGAAACUGGGAGUAAUACCGUAUGUGCCCUUUGGGGGAAAGAUUUAUCGGCAAAGGAUCGGCCCGCGUUGGAUUAGGUAGUUGGUGGGGUAAUGGCCUACCAAGCCGACGAUCCAUAGCUGGUUUGAGAGGAUGAUCAGCCACGCUGGGACUGAGACACGGCCCAGACUCCUACGGGAGGCAGCAGUGGGGAAUCUUAGACAAUGGGCGCAAGCCUGAUCUAGCCAUGCCGCGUGAUCGAUGAAGGCCUUAGGGUUGUAAAGAUCUUUCAGGUGGGAAGAUAAUGACUGUACCACCAGAAGAAGCCCCGGCUAACUCCGUGCCAGCAGCCGCGGUAAAGUCACAUGG